rnacentral:rRNA from 1 species
AACGAACGCUGGCGGCAUGCCUAACACAUGCAAGUCGAACGAGACCUUCGGGUCUAGUGGCGCACGGGUGCGUAACGCGUUGGAACCUGCCCUUAGGUUCGGAAUAACUCCCCGAAAGGGGUGCUAAUACCGGAUAAUGUCUUCGGACCAAAGAUUUAUCGCCUUUGGAUGGGCCCGCGUUGGAUUAGCUAGUUGGUAGGGUAAAAGCCUACCAAGGCGACGAUCCAUAGCUGGUCUGAGAGGAUGAUCAGCCACACUGGGACUGAGACACGGCCCAGACUCCUACGGGAGGCAGCAGUGGGGAAUAUUGGACAAUGGGCGAAAGCCUGAUCCAGCAAGGCCGCGUGAGUGAUGAAGGCCUUAGGGUUGUAAAGCUCUUUUACCCGGGAUGAUAAUGACAGUACCGGGAGAAUAAGCUCCGGCUAACUCCGUG